rnacentral:rRNA from 1 species
GAUGAACGCUAGCGGCAGGCCUAACACAUGCAAGUCGAGGGAGAGGUUACCUUCGGGUAACCAAAACCGGCGCACGGGUGCGUAACGCGUAUACAAUCUGCCUUUCACAUAGGGAUAGCCCGAAGAAAUUUGGAUUAAUACCUAAUGGUAUAUAAGAGCGGCAUCGUUUUUAUAUUAAAGCUACGGUGGUGAAAGAUGAGUAUGCGUUCUAUUAGCUAGUUGGAGAGGUAACGGCUCCCCAAGGCGACGAUUGAUAGGGGUUCUGAGAGGGAUGUCCCCCACACUGGUACUGAGAUACGGACCAGACUCCUACGGGAGGCAGCAGUGAGGAAUAUUGGACAAUGGUCGGAAGACUGAUCCAGCCAUGCCGCGUGCAGGAUGAAGGUCCUAUGGAUUGUAAACUGCUUUUGUAAGGGAAGAAUAAGGAGUACGUGUACUUUGAUGACGGUACCUUACGAAUAAGCAUCGGCUAACUCCGUG